GAUGAACGCUGGCGGCGUGCCUAAUACAUGCAAGUCGAACGAGGUGCUUUUGUAGCAAUACGAGAGUAUCCUAGUGGCGAACGGGUGAGUAACGCGUUGGUGACCUACCCCAAAGUGUGGGAUAAUAGUCCGAAAGGAUUGCUAAUACCGCAUGUGGUCUUCGGAUUUAGAAACUGAUGACUAAAAGGAGCAAUUCGCUUUGGGAGGGACCUGCGUCCAUCAGCUAGUUGGUGAGGUAAUGGCUCACCAAGGCUACGACGGGUAGGGGACCUGAGAGGGUGACCCCCCACAAAUGGAACUGAAACACGGUCCAUACACCUACGGGUGGCAGCAGUAGGGAAUAUUGCACAAUGGGCGAAAGCCUGAUGCAGCAACGCCGCGUGUGCGAUGAAGGCCUUCGGUCGUAAAGCACUUUCUGGGAGAUGAGCAAGGACAGUAUCUCAGGAAUAAGUCUCGGCUAACUACGUGCCAGCAGCCGCGGU
rnacentral:rRNA from 1 species